GAUUAAUUAACCAGCAGAUGACAAGCCUGCAGGAGAUACACGGAUUACAUAAGGUUAGAGAUCCCUCUGUCCACACACAAACACACACACACACAGACCCACAGUGUUAAUGAUGAACUGAUGUUGUCUGCAGCGAUUGGCACAGAGUGUGUGUGUGACAGAAAGAGUGUUUGCUGAGUUAUGUCAUGCAAGUGCAGACUUGGUGUUAUUCUAUCAAAUUAUGGGCAGGAAGCUUCGCUCACAUUUUCACUUCAGUGUGAUUGCUCUGAGUAAAUUCACAUUUUCGAAAAGCUUUCAGAAGGGCUUUUGUUUGUGAGGCAGGUGGCCUUUAAAAAAACAUAAGUGGAAAUGUGUGAUUCUGAGAGCAUCUGGACCGACAAAAAUGAUGAUAAUCUCUUGGUCUGUGGGAUGUGACAGUAUCACAUUGUAACAAGUGAUUUAUUCACUGCUUUUGGCAUUCCAGUAUCAUCAGGACACAGCUUUGGGUAAUGCUUUACAAUAAUCAUAACUUAUGAGUGGUAAUUAGACCAUAUAUAAAUGGUAAGCAGAUAGUUUAUUGAUAAUUAAUCAUCAUUUAUAAAUAGCAUAUAGACCAUUAAUAAAUUGUAAAUUUUAAAAACCUAACUUUAACUUUACAAUAACCGUCUAAAUAAUGUUUUCAGGUGGUUUAUAAACCACUUAUUCAUCAUUUACAAAGUAUUACAAACAUCAGUUGCAACUUUACAAUAACAAUCUAAGUAAUGUUUAUAUAUGGUUUAAAAACAAAAAUAUUAACCAGUCACAAAGUGCUAAUCAUAAUUUCAUUGCUUGUUGAUGGUAAAGUAACCAUUAACUUACAUUAAUAAACUAUCUAUUUGCCAUUUAUAAUUGGUCUAUUUGCUGUUUUUAAAUGAAUAAACUAUCUGUAAGUGUUACCCAGCUUUGCAACAGUACCUGAAUGCUACAGCUUUAAUGGACACUAAAUGCAACAUUUAGCCCAUUUUACCAAUAUCAGUCUUCAAUAUUCUAAUAAAGACUGCAGAUUAUAUGUUUUAGGUAUAGUUUUGGGGAAAAGGGGUUGAAAAUGUUUAAGGCACUGAUGGUGAACCUUGCAGGAAAUGUGUGGGCACCGCGAGCUAAGUGUGCAGCAUUCAAGUCCAAACAAAGAUUGUAUCAUUUUGUAUCCUAUUGUGUCUUUUAUGUCUCAUUUUACAUAUAUGAAACAGACAGGGCUUGGCCAGUGAUGUCAGCAUUGAGCAGCGGUAGUACAGGAGGUAGACAGUCGUCCAAUGACUGGAGUGUUGGUGGUUCGUUUCCUCCCUGUCCCGAGUCUGUCCGUUGUGUCCUUGGGAAAGACACUUAACCCACCUUGCUCCCAGUGCAUGUCCUCGACUGGUGUAUGAUUGUGAGUGUUGUGUGGUGGUGGUUGGAGAGGCCGUGGACGGCGCAAACUGGCAGCCCCAUUUCCAUCAGUCUUCCCCAGGGCAGAUGUGACUACUACGAUAGUUUACCAAUGAUGUAUCUAAUGUAAAGCACUUUGAGGGUCUCUGAUAAGGCACUAUAAAAUCUGGUGCAUUAUUAGCAUUAUUUAAAAUGUAUUAAAGUUAAAGUAAUUUUGGAGUAUAAAUGAGAGAAAAAAAGAGCGUGGAUGAAAUCCCAGAGUACCCAACCCCACGGACAACUGGAGCCAGUAGAGAGAUACUCAUACUCAAGUGUGGCUGCAUACUGUCAUGCAGUUUCUACCACAACACAGACUAAUUUACACACGUGCUUCCUCAGCAUGCACAGCCAAACCUCCCUGAUCUCUAAUGAAAGCCUUCAUUAUGUGUAUACGGCCACCACUUAGGGCGUCUUGCAGACUAAUGAUACCUGUUUCCACCACUCUAAACUCCGACACCAAAGACUCACAAUAAAUCACUCACUUCUCAUUGCACUAAUUAAUAAAGCCGUGCCAGACUUGGAGACUCUGAGAGGAAUUCAAUAAUGUUCUCAGAAAAACCUUCAAAGUCAGACUCAAUUAUUAAAAUACAAAGCAGCCUCUGAGUUUGUUUUUGCCCACUCAGCUAAGGGGGGAGGGGUAGUUAUAGCUCUGCGGGUAUUUCUGAAUGUGUUUAUGCUUGUUAGUGUGUGUGCCUUAGUAAGUUGUGUUAGUGGCUUUGGGGUUCAGGCCGCCAACCCCUCUCAGCGGGAAGGCACUGUUGUAACCACUGGGGUCAAAACACUGUGAUCCCAAGGCUGCCAAGAGGUCAAAGGACACGAGCCCUCAGGGGAUCCAGCGGAGACACUCCUGGACCUACAAGGUUGAUUCAGGAGACAGAACACAAACUUUCCACAAUUAGAAAUGAAUCCCAUUAAUCCAAGCAGGUUUAUUAACUACCAAGUCUGCCACGUAAUCAGGGUCCAAAAUGCCACUGUGUUUUACCUGUGGGUGGCUGUAAAGGUAGGACACAACGGCAUCAUGUUUGAAACGAUCGCAUUUCAUUCGAGUAUAAUUUCAGACGGAUGGGGGUUAAGUUACCUCAGAGAAGUGAUACAGCUUUCUACUGACCUUCAAAUGCCAAAUUAGAGAUCACAAACAAAGCUACUUUAUGGGCAUCAUGUGCAAAUUUGGUUUGGAAAGGUCCUUCUGCAAAAGUCAAUCAAAUUAAGCACUUUAAGUGUUCAGCCAGACACUAAAUUGGUUGGCUGUUGGUUUGAUGGAUGUGCAUUUCCUGCUAAGUAGUUCCCAAUUGUACACAAAAACCAUAAAUCAUGUGUGGUUAUGUCUCUCUUUGUGCUUUCAGCUACUCUGACGCCUCCACCAGUUAAACUGAUUGCUACCAAGAAGCAUCACAAUCACAAGUCUGCAGCUUUUAAAGUCACAUUUGGUGCCGACCAACUAUCUGGUAAUCGCAUCACAGUCCUCUAAUAUUGUUAGUGGGGUCCCUUGAGGCAAAAACACAAUUCCAGUGUCAUGCAUGGGUAAUCUUGUGAUUCGUAAUAAAAAGCUAAGGUUUUGAUCAGUACUUCACUUUUGCUUCAGUCUGGUCUUUAACUGGGACCACCUUGGAGAUAUUUUUGAGUUGAUCCUUGCAGCAGCCAUCCAUGUGGAAUAAAGACACUAUUCAUUGACUUACUGGCCCGAUUACUGUUGACUUAGGCAGAGGGGGGAGAAAACACGAAAACAUGUGCUGAUUUAGAAGGCUUCAAAACCUCCAGCCUCGCCUGGAUGAAUUCAAAUGUAAGUCUGCUCUGGAGCUCGAGGUAACAAAAUUUGUGGCAGCUUUCCAUUUCAACUGAAUCAGUAAAGCACUAAUGUACAAAACCUGCAAUCUGGCAAAGUAAGGCCCCCACAUCAGAACGCUUUCCAUCUGACACAUGAUAAUCCUUUUCCUUUGACCUUUCUUCUGUGCUGCGUGAUCUUUGAGUGUGUGUAAAACUCUCUGGUCCUGCACACUUUGGUCCUCACACCCCCUGAUCCUUUGUGUACUGCAGAUCAUCUCUUAAUGCUCAACCAUGUCCCGCACAAAGCCAAUGCUUAUUACUCACACCCGAUUGACUCACAAUGAAUCCCAACGUUUCAUUGCGGAGCGCCAAGUUCAUAUAGCAGCACAACUACUCUUUUUCCAGGGGGGUGAGUUUGACAAAAUGACCACUAUGGAUGACAAAGUGUCCAUUUGCACUUCCUCAACACUUUGUGGUAUCUGACUCAGUUUGGUCAGCUGGAAAAGCUCUGAGAUAGGAGGGCUGGAGCUUACCCUUUUAGAGACGUGAUUUGGCCAGUCUAGUGUCAAUACAGAGCUGGACAAAUAGGCUGCUAUGUCUACUAAAUAGGCUGGUUGUGUAUUUUUAAAGAGCUCAUUAUGCAGGAUUGCCUGUCCAGCCCUGCACAUGAUCUCUCUCCUCCUUACUGUCAAUACAAACUGAAGUGAGACCUGUUUGGGAGCUUCAUUCACUACUUAAGACACAGAAUGGGCUACAUAGCAGGCAGCCAUUGUCAUGAGAGGAGGCUAAAAUUCUUAUUUAAAGUUAAAUAUGAUUCAUCACCCAGCUUUAUGUCCAUGUGCCAAUCAGGUCAGUCAUGCCCCUGAUUACUUGCAACCUUUAUAUCUCCAAAAACAAAGACUUUUCAAAAAGACUGACUCCCGUACAUUGUGCACAUUUAAUGAAAAAGGCUCAAACCAAAAAUAUUUAUGUAUUCCAGGAUGAAAACAUUGUUAUUUCUACCUUGAAAAAGGAGGAUUCAGACAAUUUUCUCUACUUUUUGUUGGUUUCUACUGUCCAAUAUUGUAGCAUGCUAACUUUGUUUGGGCUCCUGAACGACACAGGGGAGCAGCGUCCACCUCACAACCAAUCAGGUUGGGGGAGGUGGGGAAUGGCUUUGUUUACAGUCAGAAAGAGCGGAGCGCUCUGAAAUUUUAAAAUGUUGACUACACAGACAUAACAAAACACAGCGAUAUCCUUAUAUUACCAAAUGUCAUCAAUAACUAUUAGCUAUUGACUGAUAUUAUAAGCUUUUUUGUGUGUACACCACAAAAAAAGAUGCUUCUUUAAAGGAUUCCUGCCUACCCGACCUUUAAAUUCAUAUUGAAUUUUAUCAAUCACACAAGCAGGACUAUCAGCAAUAAGACAGACAAACUACAUUUUGAUUUAUAUUGCCUAAAACUAGUGUAGGGGGUAGGCGUCAGCCAAGCGGCUAGAAAGAAAACUCUUUUUUUGAACAUUUUUCCAUCUGAAAUUAGAAAUUUUACCACCAGAAAUCACUAUGAUAUUCAAGAUGUUGGCUUCAUUAAUCAGUUGGCUCCUGCUUGUGUGUAAAAGUGACUGUCCUGAUUUAGUUUUUUAUUAUAGAUCCAUACUGGAUAUUUACUCUUAGGGUUAGACAUAUUGUUUCAGAAACUGCUGGACGUUUUUGAAGUUAUUUUGAGAAAUGACAUCGACCCGUAUGUUGGGUUGGAACCAGGCUGCGAAGUCUCUGUACAUGGCACACAGGUUAACCACAAGGCCAAACUGGCAUCCAAAAUCACUUUGAUGAUGACUUUCCUCAUAAAACUCCCAGUAGUUACUAUUGUAGACUUGGUAUUGCGCUUACACUAAAACCUAAGCUAGCAACAGUCACUUGGGCAAGGUAGAAAAACAACAAGUAAACAAGAAAAGCAGGAGGCUAAGAUAAACGUGUCGAGCGUAAAGAAAGUGACGAAACAAAAACAACCCUGCAGCACUGCAAACCUGAAUAGAAAGAAGCUCCCUACAAUAACAGCAGCUGAAGGGGGGGCUGAAUCAUGCUAGCUUGAUUAACCUCGUUUGCUUGAGUGACCACAAGUGUGUGCACGCUCAUACACACUACACACGCAUGUGCUUCAUCUUUGUUUGAUGCUUACAUACAGUAUGCGCAUACAUGUGGGUUUAUGUAUGUGCGCAUAACAACCUGCUGUUUCAGAGGCGUUCAUUAAAGCCGUACCAGCGCCUUGGCCCCCCUGCUGCUCCAAGCUUCAUGUAAAUAUAAGGGGAAGACAAUAAUAGAGCUCAGACUCUUAAAAACUCUCAGGAGUCAGCUGCUUUGCAUGAAUGUAACCGCACAUCCAUCACAUAGAGCCACGUCAAAUUUAUUUAUAUAGCAUUUUUAGAAUAAACAGGUUAAUUACAAGGUCCGCAGUCAACCAGACGAGAUCACUCUGCAGCCUGAGGCACCAUAAAGGCCAGCAUCAACCACAUUAAACAACCAUUGUGAGUGAUGUGGCGAAGCUUUUUCAUCAUUGUGGGAAAGUUGUGAGAGAGUUUUAUGGACGGCUCAUUAAUACAGAGGGCUGCUGUACAUCAACAAGAGAUGCUCCAUAUUCUGCAGAGCCACAGGAUUAGCCAAGCAUGUUGUUUUUGUAGGCUAAUCUGUGCAUUCAGGAUUAACCAUGCCUUCAUUAUGUGGAUUUACUGUAUACUGAGUGAUUACCAUAAAGAUUUGAGUCUUAGUGUCUUCUUGCCUUGCAUACAGCAUCACAGAAAGACUUGUUGACAGUUUUUCCUGCAGCAGUUCAGGUCAAAUUAGACCGGGUUGCAAUCUUGGUCUUUUGGAGUUUAGGUCACAGAAGAUAUACUGUCGAAACUUAUGAAAACCUUGUUGUCUGUGUGUUCUUUUGUUGGUGCAGUGGACAGAAAAUAAAACAAGUUUUGGAAGACGCCCACUUCAUUACCUCAGUUUGCACAUGGCAGUUGUUUAUAUGUAUUGCACAUGUGCCAAGUUGGUAAGCUACUGGCAAACAUCUGCUUGGUACUCUGUUUAUUUGCAUGUUCGCUGGAAAAACUAGCUGUUCUUCAUCUGCACCACACUAUUUCAUACACCACUCUUGGUAGUUUGUAAUUUUCCUCUCUGUAAACAGUGCGCAGAUACCCAGUACGUAUGCCAGCAAUGGUCUUCCUAUUAGUGUUCGACAUGCAAGACCGAUUAAAUUAUCGCAACCUACUGGUCUGUCAUGCUUGUAUGAGCAUUUUCAAACAUUUCUGUUUUUUAAGGUUUCAAAAAUACCUGCCUCCGUUUGGACUUGGCUUGAGUUUGAUGAAUGAAUCAUCUCAGUGCAGGGUCAGGUGUGUGUGUGUGUCUAAUUGUCCCUGAUUAAGACCAGGUGUGGGAAGUUGAUAUAUCCCUUUGGGUUCCCGUGCUCUGUUUUCACUCAUUAUCUCACCAUCAGAGGUAGUGAGUGGAUCCCUUAGUGUUUUGUUGUGUAGGGGUGUGUGAGCACACAGAACCACUAAAAAGUCUUGCUUACCAGUUCUAGUUGCUGUCAGUGUCUAGUUUGUUACUGGUUGUGUCAUUAAUGACAUGACCUGGUAUAAUUUGGAGAUAACCCCUGCUUAUCAACCCGACACAGUGCCUUCACUUAAAAGAUUUUAUGGUAGAAAAGUUUUUGUAUAAGUAACAUAUAUGUUCAGAGACACUGACAAACACCCAGGAUCUUGCCAAUAGAAGCGCAAGAUUCUAGAUAUAAAGCUACAUAGAUCAUCUCUUUUCUUUGAUAUCCGGCUGUUACAUUUCAAAAAUGUCUGCCAUGCAACAUGUGCUGCGGAGGCCUUUCACAUGGGUGCCACCUCGUGUCAACAUCAGAUGAAUCCAUCCAGUCACAUGUUUGUUGAGAUCAAAUAGGUCCAUAGUAUCACCAUGAGAGCCCUGAGGCCAAUCAAUCAGCUCAGUAAUGUGAACUGAGGAUGGUAACAGGAAAACAUGUUGUCCCUGCCUCAUAACACAUCCAGUGACUGCCCUGCAGGAUCAACUUAGUUUUACUGGCGAAACGCAGAUUAACACACAAACCAAGCCCUGUGAGUUGAGCUUAACACUUUUGAAUCACUAAUGUCAUUUCCUACUCCACGCCCAGUUGUUACACUCCUGCUGUUCCCAAUUGCUGAAACAGCAGGUUAAUCACAUCUCAAAUUUGCAAAAUGUCAAUAUCCUGCCACGGUGUUUGCAUUCCCAGCUCUUCAGCUAUUUCUGGAGUCACGAUGGGUGUGCUGACAUUUGUUUCCUGUCCUGACUGUCUGGACUGGAAGGCGGCUCAUCGGGAGAUAAACUGUCCAGACAAUAAAAAAUUCAAGAGAGCAUUCAUCCAUUAAAAGACAUCACUGGCUGAGGUUUAUAAGAUUCCCAAGAAGAAGUGAUUAUAUCCUUUUUUUUUUUAACUUAUUUGACGUCCUGUUGACAUUUCACCAUGUCACUGGGACUUCUUUAAGUCUCCGGAAAGUUGGAUAUGUGUGGCAAAAAUCAUCUUUCUUGGCAAGACUGCUGCGAGCGGCUGGAUUUUCAAAAACUGCGAGAUGGUGCAAGUGAACCAAUUUGCCACGCCCCUUCUGUAAACCAAUGCCUAGUUUGCAUUAUUACCAUGAUGCACAUGCAAUUUCCAGGCCCUCAAAGCUUCAACAGAUGACAGGGAAUAAUAACAAUAGUAGCUAAAUCAUUAUUUGAUGGUUUAUAAAAGUUUAACACUUCUGUAGAAUUUUUUUUACCAGGUGAACAGAGUGGAUGAGGGUGGAAUGAAGGUGAGGGAAAAUAUUAGCAACACUAACACAAGUUAUUGAACUUGGCAAAGCCGCGUGUUGUACCAACCUGAGGACUCCUUUUAUUAGUGUGUUUAAAGUGUACUUAAUGGGAGGAGUGCAACCUCAAGUUCUGGGAUCUACCAGCUAGAUCAUUUGGGUGCAUCCAAAUAUGUCAUCAGUGCAAUGUGUCAUUGAGGCAUGUGACAAACACAGUCAAUAACCUGCUUUGGGCAUUUAGAGGACGAUUAUUCUUUCACCACUGCUGGUAACUUGAUCUUCCAAUCAAAGGACUUGUAAAAAAUAGUUGCAACAUAACCCAGCAGUAUGUUGCGCCCCCAACAGACCUGGAGCCAUCUGAUUGAGUUUCCUUCUGCCCUCCUGUUCAUCUGCUUCAGUUUUUAUGGUUUGAGAUCCCUAUUUCUCUUUAGGAAAUGUUUUGACCUUAUCAGCCACUGUAAUUUCAUAAUUCCUCAGACCUUUAUGGAGCUGGACAAAUCUUAAAAUAAAAUCCUCAUUUAGAUUCCUCCAUGUGUCCUUCUCUGACCUUUCUAAUUUCGAUGACCUCAGUGGAAGUUAAAUGCCAAAUUCCAAAAAAUCCAGCCGCACGCUCUACCCAGCCGAGCACACAGAGCUGGAAUUAUUGUUGUUCUCUUCCAGCAGUGCCCUUUCUGGCUGACUCCGCAGAGAUUUGCACAUUAUGCAGAAUGACACUUCCCAUCGAUCAUCUGCCAGACAGACAGACUGACAGACAGGCAGCUGUGUCUGAACUUUGAGUGACUUCUCAUUUGUCCUGCAGCGAAAGCCCAUCAGUCUCAGCUUGUAUCUGUCAAACUGCACCUUUACUCUACGUAUUAGGUGAUGAGAUGUGUGCACCUGUGGCAGUGAGAGUUUAUUUUUAACGUAUUUUGACUUGUUGCGUAAUGUUGGCACCUAAACUUCAGGCUGUUACUGAAAAUUCUUGACAGACCUAAUUUGAUUUAUGCUCAAAUUUGCACCUGCUGUGAUAAAGAUUAAUGUUGUGUGAAUUCAGAAACAUUUUGUUCCUUACGAAGGAUGUUUUUCGAAUCUCAUUUUCAGGGAAUUUUACGGCAGUUUGUUUUUCUCCAAACAGCCUAAACAGAAUAGGCCAAAAACAACAGCAAUACUUUCAUAAUUAAAUGAAAAACAAAUGAAAGUAGUUUCUCUUAUUAAGCUUGACUUCCUUAUUUUGAAAAGACAUCCCGCAUUAGUAUAAAACAUGACCCAUCCGACCGCAUCUUUCUUAAGACAAAUCAGUUAUGACGGGGCUUUACUGAUUACUCAUCCCAUUACCAUGUCCUGUUUGGUAAUUCUCCAAAUAAGUGGAUUCCAGACAAAAAAUAACCCAAUCUCCUUUAUUGGACAUGACAUAUGCUACCUGAAGCAUGUCAAAAUAAAAGCCUUUAAUCUAGACAGAAACAUUGAAUCAUGUUUUAAAAAAUGUUUUUCAAAAUAAAAUGGCGUUGUCUCCACGCCAUGCAGGCCGAUCGAUGAUGUAUUUUAAAGUGAGGAUCCACAUGUUAUUGACACAGCAGCAGGUUUACAGAGGGGAAACAGCCUGCGGCAGGGAUCAGGGAUGUGAGAGCAAUAAAAGGUUCAUGUAAAACCAUAUUUGACACACACUGGUGCACAUGCAAAAGCCCAAUGUACACAGCGAACAAGGACACACAGAUACAGUAACAUUAACUAACGUGAACACAGUUAAGCAAACUGAGACCAGUUCAUUCCCAACAGUCAUGCUUACUGGAAUCAGGAAAAAUAAAGUGUAACUAUGAAUGUUGAGGGAGUUUACACCAGGGCUCACUAUAUCUUGCAGAAUCGAUAUCUUUAUUAUCGUUUUCAGCUCAAAAAACUUUCACAUAAUGUUCUUUCAGAGUUGUAGUUCUUCAUUCCAGGACUCAAACUUCUGACCUUCACAUGUUUUGACUCAUGAAUUGGCUUGGACUUGAGCAUUGGUGUCUCUGGACUUGCCUCAACUCAUGGAAACUCAUUAAAGCUUCCACAAGCAGCUCUGUUUGUCAGUUUUGGCCCCCCUUGUGGACAAAGUAGUCUUAACUUGAGCAGAACUUUUUGAAAAAAAAAUCUCAUCCUGAAAAAAUUCACAUGAUUUAAACUCACAGGUAUUCUUAAAUUUACUCCAUGCUGAGGGAUUCUUCGAGCCUCCAAAAUGAUGCGCUGAUUAAUUCCUGGUGAAAUCCGUAAAUGUUAAAGGCGAUAAAAGCUGACACAAAAGAAUCCAGUUGAUAUCAUUUCCACAAGGGAGGGGAAGUUUCCUGCACUUAGUUCUGGUUUCCUUUUAACAUCUUUGAGUCCCUGGAGCUUUGCUGUCAGACACGACUGAGGCACCGCUGGCUUUUUAAGUCCCCCAUGUCUGCUACGCCCCACAUUAUAUUUCCAUCUCAUAAUGAUAUAUCCAAUAUACGGGAAUGAAAGUAAAAACUGGCUAUACAAAAUGACGCACAUCAUCACUUUGCCAUCAAAAGAUACGAAAAUAAGUCCAGGGCACGCCAAAGGCUUCACAUCUAUAUGUUUUAAUGAGCCAGACAGCCUCUAGGAAAUGACUCAUGUUUAUUUCCAGCUCUUGAGAUGAAUGAUGGUAAUAAUGCUGCUCUGUGUCCUAUAUACUGCUCCUCAUUAUUGCAAAUUACACAAAGAAAGAUACACAGACAGUGAGUAAAUAACUGUUCCUGCCCUCCUUCUACUUACAUGAACCCUUGUACUGUGCAAUUACACAUGAUGGCAAACAUCCUAUUACUGUACGAUUCCCCUCACCCACUCAGGAUACUUUAUAUAGAAAUAUGAGAGGGUCAAACUUCAACGAUGGACCAAGUUUUCUGUUACUCUCAAACACAAUAUGAAUAAGUACUUGGAAUGAGUUUUAGAGGCUAUCAGGAUGCUUCAACUAGAUAUGCCUAUUUUUUUUUUCCAGUCUGCUUGUCCAGCAACCCCCACCCUCCUUUAAUGAUUUUCUUCUCCUAUCCUAUAAUAUACAGACAGGGUCAUGGCCUUAAUUCGACCCUAUUUGCACCCCAUCCUCCACCCCCCACUCUGUGUAUCCAGAUGAUGCGGGACAGCUUGGGAAACAAUGGCAGACAGGGCAGACUGAGCGUCUGAAAGUCUCUUUGUUUACAUCCUGCUAAUUAUGUAACACAUGAUGGAUCAUAUCGUUUCUGUCAGAACAAAUGAAUCUCCAAAAGCUGGUGUCAGGAUUUUGACAAGUAUUUCAAGAUGUCUUUUUUUAGGAACAGAGAGUCUGUACAGGGUGUCCCAUAUCACGACUGCCUGUUCUGAAAUGUGAAUGUAGUCUCAGUGACGUCACUCACUAGUUUCUGAGAAAGCACGAAGAGACCAAAUGAUGGCAGUUGCCAUGUUGGAAAUGCUGACUCAACUCCUAUUUUCAACCAGUGUGACCACAGGCAAAGAGGUGGAGCUAAAGCAGUAGCUGUUUAAAGCCUCCAGACAAACAGCUACAGCGCCCCAGCCUGUCAGUCAAACUAGAAAUUACGUAAAUUCAUCCCACAAGUUAAGAAAAACAGAAACAGUAGAGUGGAAACAAAAAAUCAAUGUGUGCAAAUGAGUUGAACACCAGGGACAGUGAAAACAACAGUGGACCAAGGACAGACCUCUGUGGAACCUCAUGCGUAACUGCACAGGGUUUUAAUUAAUUAAAAAUUAAUGCAUCAGAUUUCAUAUAGCACUUUAUCAGAGACCCUCAAAGCGCUUUACAUUGGAUACAUCAUUCAUUAGCUCACACAGUCACACUUUGGUGGUGGUAAACUAUCUUUGUAGCCACAGCUGCCCUGGGCAGACUGACGGACACAUGGCUGCCAGUUUGCACCUAUUGCCUCUCCGACCACCACCACACAACACUCACAAUCAUACACCAGUGGAGGACACACACUGGGAACAAGGCGGGUUAAGUGUCUUGCCCAAGGACACAAUGGACAGAGUCGGAAUAGGGGGGGAAUAAGACCGCCGACCUUCCAGUUAUUGGGCGACCGCUCUACCUCGGUGGUUCAACUGCUUUUUUAGAAAGUGUUGUUGAUGAAAACCCAAUGAGAUCUUUCAGACAGGUAAGAGCUCAACCACCGAAGUACCUGACCUGAGACAAUACAGCUAAAGAGGUGCCGUGACCAUCCUGAACAUAUUCCUUUAACACCAACAUAUAUCUCCACACGCUCUCAGUGGACUGGAGAUAUAUUAGGAGAGAGGUUGAGUUUGAAAGUUUUCAUUGGCAGGACGCUCUAUCUCCCCGUCUCUCUGCUCGACCCCCUGGAGUCUCGCAAAACUUAGCAAGGCCCCACAGUUGGAAGCGGGAUUUCCACAGGCAUGCACACACCAUGUUUUGUCCUCUUUCAGACAUGCACUCUCUUGAGGCAAGUUUAUAAAACAUUUCACUGCAAGCUUUCCUACGCAGGGGGUUAAACCUUGAGUCUGUCAGCGCAGCAAUGACAUAUUUUUUUGGACAGCUGGGGGAUGAAUCACUAAGGGAGGAAAAUAAAAGGACAAGACAAAAAGGGCAAAGGAAAGAUCCUGCAGCAGAGGGUAGACGGUGACACACCGUUUUAUGGAAGGGCUGGGAAGAGCUGCUCAUAUUUUUCAUGUCAGUUGUUAUUAGACUGCAUGAAAGACAUGCAGGACUGAUUUUAGUUGGACUUGAGGCCAUUUUGCCCUGGCUGGUGUCCUUCCUUUGCCAAAUAAAAAUCAGUGACAUGUGUGUAUCAUUUGUAGUCUAAUCCCCAAACGAUUCACUUUACAAAUUCGGAAUGUUUAACUGAUCCCAGGACAGCUUUUAUGUUUUAGGAGCGGUAAUCAAUAACAGACAGUGUUGGUGGGUCUAACAGCAUUGGCGCUGACUCACAUGAUGCAAUAACUAUUUAAAACUUGCUGUAGAACUGUAGAUGGACAUUCAUGAUCUCCAGAGGAUCAGCCAGAAAGACAUAAGGAGUCCACCUAACUUUUAGACAAGCAGCUAUCAGGUCAAAAAGGUAACUUUAUGGUGAUGGCAACUAUUACUAGCUGAGGAUGAAAUUGCAGUUCCCAACAAAAGCAAGAUAUCAGUUCAAAUAAAUUGAUUUAUCACUGUAAUCUGACUGAAACUGGACUUAAAAAAGAAUAGAAAAAACAUCCCCAGACGCAUGAACUUGAAGCUUUCACAGAAUUUGACUUACAACAUUGUGAAUACCCCAAGAGGGGGGCGCUCAUAUGGUCUCCUCCUGAUGGUAACACGACCCCAUUUGAAGUACAGCCGCGCAGAACUGCAGGAGAAGGUGUUUUUAUAUGUAUAAAUAUCAGGUACCAUAAACACAUAACAUAUGGUACAGGUUCUUUCUCUUUGUGUUUGUAUAGUAGGUGCAGAAAUGUUACAUUCACAUGAACAUAUACAGUGGGAACAGCAGAGGCGUUUUGUAGAUGCAGGUCUGCAAACAAUGGCUGCUGGAUAUACUGUGAGACUCUUUACAUGAGUGUGGGAAUGGGUUCAAAUUUGCAUUAGCAGGUCAAUGUGCUUUUGAAUAGGUUUGUCUCUUUGCAUGUAUGUGUGUGUGCUGUAAGGGUUUGGAUACAGAGAGAGGCUGUUUUCAGGCCCCCGUCCCUCCCCAUCCCUCCCCAUUCCUCUACAAGUCCACAUGUGUUUUAUUAGCAGGCAGGCCCGCUGGACUGUAAAUUCCAGCAGCGGGCUGGCCUGAGGAUAUGCACAGCCCGAGGUUCAAGGGAAAAAAAGGGGGACAAAAACUGAAAAAAAGAGGCCAGGAAGGAGUCACCUUUCUGUUGUCUUACUGCCAUUUUUAUAGUGUUUGACAAUCUUAUUUGAGUCCUGUUUGCUCCUCUCUUCAUUCCUUUCCUCUUACCCAAACUCUCCCUAAUUCUUUCAUUAAGUUGAGUCCAUUUCCAACCCUACUUUGCAAAUUACUCUCCCGCUCUUUGUCUUUCUGUGUCUCAUUUGUGGACUGUUUUUUUUUAUGUCGUCUCUUCCCUCUCAUCCUCCCCUCUUCCUUCCAUCUGCUCUCACUCUUUCUCUCACUUUGUUUCUGUUUCUGCGUGUAAAUCUUCAUUCUUGUUCUGUGAGUCCAAAACCACUGCAUUCCCACAACAGCAAACACUUAGAGACAAGAGCUGUGGCUUAAACAAUGGUUUCCGUUUGCCCCGGGACUGAAUAACUCACUCUCUGCCUCCCCUCCACACACAUACUCUCUCUCUUUGUCACACACACACAACAAAAAGAUACACACACUUUGACACACAUUUCCACUGCAUGGCUCCUAUCAUUAAAUUUUAUGUUAGCUUGCUAAUUUUCCAGUCUCUUUCCUCUCCAUCAACGUGACAAUCAUAAUUUAAGCGUGACAAGGUAGGUCAUGACCUAAUCCCCUCUGUUGCCCCCUGAACCCUGACACCCUCCUCAGGGUGCAACAGCAUGUUCUCAGUUCAGACUGUACCAGCACAGUGAGAGGGAGGAAAGUGCGAGUGAUGGAGGUGAACCUAAGAUAAGACAUUAAGUCCUAUGUCCAAAGUGAACCACACUGAUGCUGUUAUGGUUAGUUCUCCUGUUUUGAGUUUCCAGUAAAGGUUUUAGGGUUAAGGGUUACCUUUUGUCGAGGGUUUACCGAGCUCACAGUUUUAAGAUAUGCUUAGCCAAGUUAGGUUUGUCCCGAUUCGUGAAUUUGUACAACUCCCAUGUAGAAGAAGCACAACCAUAAACCACUCGAAAAAAUGCUCUUGACAUGUUCAAGUUAAAACUCCUGUGAGAAACUUUUGGUUUCUGUCUACCUUGGACAAAACAGUCUUCACUUACUUUAGCUUAGCUCGUUCUCUAAAUGCUUUAACAGCAUCCCCUGACCAAAAAAAAAUUGCAUCCUGCUGACUUUUCACAGCCAAAUGAUCAUUUUUGUGAAUAUUUGAGGUGGAAAUUGUUAAAACAGGGCUGUUUCUUUGGCUGUUUGGCUGACACCUAACCGCUCACUCUGAUUUAAGGCACUAAAAAUUAUGACACAAAAAUCGUCAGUCAUGUCCCUGAUGGACAUGUGUUUUAAUGAUAUAAACAGGCAUUGAAAAUGAAAGCUCACAAUAGCUUUCACAAAUAAUCAGGUUUAAGACACUACUUACUUAUGUGGAGAACAUGAUAGGUUAAGACUCUUUUGUCCACUAGGGGUGCCAUAAUUGACAUAAACAAAAAGUCUCUCACAGGAGCUUUAAUGAUUGAACAUCACAAGCAGCAGUAUUUGAAACAGUAGGAACUGAAAGGCUACAGACCAUUUCAGCCCACGCUUUUUCAGUGGCUUUCUGGGCUUCUUGAACGACAACAUUCCUUGGCCAGGAAUCCAGUAAUUGGGUUAAAGUUGGCUAAUUUUAACCUUGGACACUUCACUUCCACAAGUAAAUUGGAAGCAGAAACUUAGACAAAUCCAUGAAAGUGUGUGACUCCAGGUAAACUUGAAAACCAUUUUUAUUCAUGAAUCCUUUUCUGGCUGAUAUUUGGUUGUCAGAGUGUUCUUUAAGGAAAGCAAAACACAGAUUCUUCAUAUAAAAUCUAAAACUCCUCAUCAGGUUUUACUGUGUGAGAUCGGAGGGUCGUAUUGUAAAUGUGCAAGUCAUAAAUGCAACAUUUGGCCCUUGCCUUUAAGACUCAAAAAUCUUGUAAGCCAACUCAUAACUCAAAAAUGUGGAUGAAAAACAGUGAAAGUGGGGCAGUCCUUCCUUUUAAUCCUACCUCUGAAAAUGUACCUCUAUCCAGGGGCAUUAGUAGGCACUGCACUUAUUUUUCCACUGCUCUGUUAGUUUUUAGCAAGUUGAUCCUGUCACCUAAGUCAGCUUUUUUCCUGUCUUGGAUACAUAGGAGUUGAUAGGGGAAAAAGGAAGAGUCAGGGGCUAAAAACAUCUCUUGAGGAGUUUAUGAGUGGUGACGCCAUUGUGCUGUGCAGUUUAAUUACCUCUCUACCAGCAGGUCUGGUUCCCAUUAUGUCUGCUAACAGCCAGCUCUUCUCAGCGCUGCUCUCCUCCCCGCUGCCUUGUCCUCAAUUGGCAUCCCCUUCACCACAAAAAUACUCAUCUCAACAAGUACUUCACCCCAGCAUUUGGAUUCAAAGUGGUCUUUUCUUUGCAAAAAGUGGCUGAAUUUACCAACAAGAGAACUUCAUGUACAUUUUAGUCAGUCUGGAGGAUCUGUUUGUUAACACUGCAUGUCUUAAAUGCAUGAAAGACAAGUAUCUUCAUGGGACACCUGCACUUCAAAGUGAUGUCAUGUCAUCAUUUUUAAUUAUCCGUUUGACAAACCAAGGGUGUGAAAAGGAGUUCACUGGCAGCAGUUACCCAAAUGAUUUUAAGAUGAACAUUGUGUGGAUCCAACAUAUGUGCAUGCAAGCAGCCCCCUCACUGUUUCACAGACAGGAUGUGGAAACAGUGUUAGACCGCUAAGCUAAAGACAAACAGCAAUGAGGGGUGAAAUGAAACCGAGGGGAUUCAACACAGGCCUCUCCCGAUGAGAGGAUGUGGUCAGAACAUCCCCUGUCUGAAAUAAUAUAGUAUUAUUCCAUACAAUUUCUGACCAACACAUGGACUCAUGCUUGCUGAACACACUCUAGAGAAAGAUGCUUUUGUUUCAGAGUUUGGAACAAUGAACAGUUGUCUUACUUUUAAGUGCCAUGGAGCAAUUUUUACUCAUUAUAUGUCAGAAUGAAGCCCUGUGCUGCGAAUACGUCCAAGACUUGGUGGUCUUUUAAGACCACUUAUUUGUUCCAGACUGAACAUCAAUGAAACUGGUAAUGGCACAUCAGUGAAACUAUAGACAAUCAUGGUCCCAAGAUGUUAUGUCCUGUUGGCUUUGGUGAUAUUCUUGACUCCUUUUCCAGUAACACCAUGUGGUUGAGCUGAUGCAACCAAGUUAGAUUGCAAUAGAGGUCCAGUAUGCACAAACAUUAAAUUUCCCAAUUUUGGUGAUGCCCUUUGCACUUUGAUAAAUAUUUGUUGUGAAAUACACAAUUAACCAAGUAACAGAUUUGUGCAGACAUCUGUGGUCCCAAGGCGACAUACCCUAUUAAAAAUGGUGCUUGCCCUUUUAUGUUGUUUCAGUCAGACACAAUCCUGUCACAGAUUUCAAACUAGUUUUUGCCCUUUAUUUAAACAAUUGUUUAAGCCCAGGCUACUCAGUGAGCAGCCAAUUUCAGGAAUGUGGGGUGGCAGUAGCUUUGGCGGUAGAGCGGUCGUCCAACAACUGGAAGGUUGGUGAUUCGAUUCCCCCCAUUCCUUGUCUGUAUGUUGUGUCCUUGGGCAAGACACUUAACCUCCCUUGCUCCCAGUGUAUGAUUGGUAUGUACGUCACUUUGGAUAAAAGCGUCUCCUAAAUGACAUUGUAAUCUUGUGAUUGUAAUUGUAAGAAUGGGUUUGACAACUUGAAUCUUGUAGACCUCGCCCCUCCACUUUGAAAUACUCUGUACAAGCAUGCAUGCAAAGCUGGGCGUAAGAGAAACAAAGAUGCUACUGUACAUCCUGAAGAAGCUAUUCUCCAGUCAUGUGUUAUGUAAAUAAUAAAAUCUCUAUAUUAACAGUAGGCGUGCUCCAGACCUUGCAUUUUUAUGAUGCCAAAUGCAGCAUGCAUCCUUAAAAGGACACCCAGAGGGGAAUCUGCUUGUCUGGUUUCUGGAUGAUCUUUUUAUUAAAGGCCAUUUAAGAGGAGGCCAAUUGAGAGGUUCCCACACAGACUAUUAUUUUAAUUUGCUAACAUUUGCAUGGUAGUAGGCAGAUGUGCCUAGCCAGCUAAAGGGAUUCAAAGGGUAUUCAUCUGUUGUCUUGUUUCAGUAUCAGUACACAUGAGAACUAAGAGGUACGGUGAAUCUGUAGCCUACAAUCAAUUUGAUGAUGCAGGUCCAGAAAUGAUCCCCAUUGCUCUGUUUUACAUACUCUCAGCUGGAGGGGAGCAAACAGUGAGAUUGUGGUAUGAGACUUUUCCACAGGUUAAUAAACAGGUUAAUGGACUGGAACGAAGCCACAAGUUAAUACACAGCAAUAAACUGUAAAAUAAUUCCUGCUCUAACAGUACGUUUUUACAGAGUAGGAAGUGAAGUUUGGCGAUGAGUAGUUCUUGCCAAUGUCAUCCCCCGCUGCCCCUUUAAGAGGUUUCAGCCCUUCGUCUCAUUACCUGCAGGGCUGUAGGGUGAAGAGGAUGUGGUCUGCUUAGCCAGGAUUUAGUAAUGUUUUCCCCCCAACACGGUUUGCAGACUCCAGCUGUGGACACAAGUUCAUGUUCUUCUAUAUGUGCACACACACACACAGAGACACACAGGAUUAGCCCGAUUAGUCAUUGCUCGCCAUGCUGAGUAACAUAAAGAGGUGGUCCUGAGUCGAGAAGACACACAAUUAAAAAAAGACAUGAAUCAAGAGCCAAAAGCCAUGGAAAUGCCAUCAGAGGCAAUGUGGAGUAGACAAGGUUACAGCUGAAUCAAAUGUGUUUGAGGCCGAGUACAUGGACUUAAAAAUAUCUGCCAUGUUGUAUAAGCAUCGAGGCACGGCUGGUUUGACUGACAGGUGGGUGCUGGAGCUGUAUGUAUACCAGGUGGUGCAGCACUGGCCUUAACUCCAAGUCUUAAGUGGAGUUAGCUUUUUGAUUGCCAUCUUUGGGCUCAACAGCACAUCUUUAGUAACCAACAGAGAUAAUAAAAAAAAGUCCAGAGAGAUCACAGAGAAGGUGUUGAAAUCAUCGCUUUGGAACCAGCCCAUCUCCGUGGAAGAGCAUGCCGGGUUUGUCGUCUGUUGUAUUCAUGGUACGUCCUGCUGUCUCGAUCCCACAUUUCAAAUACUGGCUCACCAGAACUGUCAAAGUUCAUGUCAACAUACGAGGGGAUUUAAGACAUGAUGUGACUGCUGUUGGUUUUGCAACUGACAUUUGGAGCUCUGACAUUUGUCCCAUGUCUUUGCUGAGCCUAACUGUAAGCUGGAUUGAUGCACUGUUAUGUUUUACUGUGUUUUCAGUUGUUUAUCUGUAAAAUGAAAAUAUACUUAACAUUAAAAGACAGUUUGACAUUAUGACUAUGAGCUUUGAACUUCCCUUGCUUGACAUCAGAUGAAAACGCUUCUAUGGGAAUAAAGUCAUUCAAGUAUGAAUGUGUAUCACUGUGAGUGAGUGAGUGUGGAGCCAUUAGUUAUUCUACCUUUGCUUAGUGGGGUCAGCCAACGGUGUGAAUGCUGACACGGUAAUAUAAAUCAUACUGGACAACUCCUACAAGUACACUGGGAAAACUUGGAUUUACACUGUGAUUUAAGGUGUCACAGGGCAUUUCCGGACUCUUUUUCAGUUAAAGAGCAAGACAAAUGAUGAGGGUAAAAACGGGGUAAAAGUCGAAGAAAGGUCAGGAGACAGGGGAUUCAAUCUGAGGCGUAGGAUGUGAAAAACUGCACAUUAAAUCAGCAGUGGAGUGUGUGUGUGAAAGAGGAUGAAAAAGACAAAAGUUCUGAUUAGUUCUUAGCUGUAGCUUUCUUUGUAGCUUGUCCAGGUUGUCUGCUUAUCUGGGUCAGGGCCGCAUUCCAGACAAAUGCAGCCCUAUGUCUCCUCGCUCUGUCUCUGAAAUGCUGCUAAUGUAGCCAUUAUCUCCGUGAUUUGGUGAUAGGAGACGUCCAGCAACACUCAUUCUCGGUAAUUACAGGCUGUAGCAAGUCUUAGCCAGGUAUGCUGCUUGUCAAAAUGGUUGAUCUGAGGAAAGUAGGUUUGCUUCUUAGUUUUUUUUACAUAAACAGCAACUAAACUCCCUAAAUGUGAGUUAUUAGCUGCAGUUUGUAAGCGUCACUGGAGAUGUUGCCAAAAUGGUCUGAAAAGGUCAGACACGCCAAAUGUAAUGUAUUUGGAAACAACCUAAGAGUGGAGCUAAGUGGGAAACAUUACCUCGGUGUAGGAUUGUGAUUACAUUCAAGAGCUCAUCGGUCAUUCUCAAGAGGUGAAGCGUAACUGUGGGCGGGUGGACCAGCUUGACCCAACAGUCGUCUGAGUAAUGGACCAAGUGAGAAAUGUCUGGUUUGAUACUCGGAUGAAUAAAAGGGAAGCAAAAAAGAGAAACUCUGGUCAAGCAGGAGGAGUAAACUGAUGACCUACUGAACAACAAUGUUGAUCGAUAUCAAGAGAAACAUGGAGAAACAAAGAAGAGACAGAGAUAGUAGACUAAUGGACCAGGAUGGGCAGUUAGUCUGCUCGUAGGGCUGAUACUAUCUCUGGCAGGCAUUUUUCUCACAACAGUAGACAGUAAAUCAAUCACAACUGACUCAGAAAGGCCUGAGGAGGUUAGCCCUCUAAAAAUGCUUACUCUAAACAUUACACUAACAUCCCACAGACGGAGUCAAGAUGUAGUUUUAGAAUGACAGUAACUAAAAAUAGUUUAAAAAUGAUGAAAACUAAUCUGCUAAAACUUCAAAAACUACAUUUAAGCAAACAAUUACCAUGACGCCGAGUAGCUGUAUAUUUCUUCUUCUGAAGAGGAUGAUUAAAUUGAUAACAUUCUUAAAGCUAAUAAAGCUCUGUGUCACAGUUUACUAACAUUUUUGCAAUUCUAGGCAUCACUGUGGAAUAACAGCAGACAGUAUUGAGCAUGUGGCUCCAAGAGCUGGGCCUAUACUAAAAAGCAGUCUCAAUUAGGGGUGUCCUAAUAGGAUAUUGAUAUCGGAUAUCAGCAAAAAAAGAAUAUCGGACUAUAUCAACCUGCAUCUAAAAUCUCCAAUAUCAGCACUGCGACACAAGCAGCCCAUUCCAGACUCCGCUCCAGCCCCUCUAUCUAGCAGCGCCCUAAUCCAGCAAGUUUAACCAACAAAAACAGUGUUUACUAAGGUACUAACUAAGAGUGAUGUUGGACUUGUGGCAGUAUUUUUUGUUUAAGUCCGAAAAAGACAUUGCAGCUGAGUGAAGAACUUGUCAUAAUAUCGGUAUUGUGUGUACCUGACUUUAACAACCUUGACAAAGAAAAUCACCCUUCACAGUUCCACUGAGCUGGUUAUCAGCCAUAUACGCCAUAUAUUCCCCCUAAUCCAAGUCUGUCCGUUGUGUCCUUGGGCAAGACACUUAACCCACCUUGCUCCCAGUGUGAAUGUACCUUUGGUACUUUGUGUGUAUCUGACUUUAACAACCUUGACAAAGAAAAUCACCCUUCACUGUUCCACUGAGCUGGUUAUCAGCCACAUGCGUCAAACCCAUAGACUGUAUAAUAACUGGACAUCAUGUUGCCGGUCUGUUUCUAAAGUGGAGUUUUAAAGCUAAUCAGUAGUGGUUGCUAUCUUGGAAAUGAUUGCUCAACCUAGUUUUUGGUCAACCAGGGGCGGGCCUUUAGCCUCCUCACUGUGAGCCACUGUAAAGUGGCAGCAGUAGAAGAUUUUUUUAUUGGCCAGUCAUCAUUUUACCAAGGAUGAUACAAAAUCAGCAAUAUUCAAAGAGUUACCAUUUUGUCCACACGGGGUGCCAAACUCAAUUAAAACCGAAAGUGCCUUACAGGAGCUUUAACUUUCAUUAGUAUUUAUCAUAAAACCAGAUAGGUAUGCCCUAACCCAGGGCCCUCUGGAGACGCUCACACAGCUCCAUGAUAAAGUAAUUUGAUUGGCCAGGGGGUGGAGCUUUCUUCAGACUGAUCUGUUAUCACAAAUCUAACCAGCCUAGAGCAGUAUUGGUGUUCAGCAUGAGUUACCAUGUUGAUCUACCCUGAUAAGAAGUUAAUCACCUUUGUAGGUGUACAUAUAUCCCCAAAGUUACCUGACAGCAAAUCCUGCUUUGUAGUACAUCCCAAACUUCUGCUAUUCCAUGUCUUAAACCAAUACAGACAGCAAAGGCAGAGGGAUUUGGUCACAGUCCAUCUGCAUUAAGCUACAGGCUUCCAGCUGCCUUCUUCUUCUCCAGAUGUUUGGCUGUUAUGUUGGUUCCUUGAUGUCACCCUGGGCUUUAAAAAAACGUCAUUGGUGCAUAAUUAGGUACAUAUUUUCACUUGCUGAAAGGAUGUCUUCCUCUCCUGCCAUGUCCGUCAUAUGACCCUGCACACAUGAGCAUAUAUAUUCAGUGCAGACAGGGUCGUAUGAAAGGCUAGUUUGUUUUAACACAUAUGCAGAGUCUUUACAGAUUAUAACCAGAGAGCGCCAACUGAUUCUUUUUCUACAUGAUGUAACUGUAGCCUUGAAGGGCUGAAAUUAAGUGAGAAGUGAAUGUGCCAGAAACAAAAUCACAGUGAAAGGGAAACCAAGGCUUUGUUUAGUCAGAUUGUCUGCUGAUGGGUGAUUAUCAUAAGAACUUCCUUUUAUUCAUCGUCUCCUCUUCAGUUCAUGAUCUUGUUAAUUGUCCACACAUUAGCUGAGAUUUCCUGAUCUGUUAUCCGGGGGAAGUGACUGGUGUCCAGAUGACUUACUGAUGGUGUAACAUGCCGUGUUACUCUGGCCUGUAUCCACUUGCUACCUUCUUUUUAAGCCUGCAGUGUUAGAUAGUUGGAAGUGUAUGAUAAGAACGACCAUUCCUUGAUAAACAGGGUCACACUAUAGCACCGUAAUAGAUUCCCAUAGUGGUCUCACAGGGUUCACCUCACCACAGGAUGCUGGCUCCAGACCAGGUCCUAUUGUAGCACGUAAGUGAAUAAGGCCACAGUUGGUUGGUCAACAUGUAUAUGUUUUUUCAGGACUCAUAGCUGGCAGGAAAAAGUUGUGAAAUUGCUUUUCACAUUGGCGCACACCCCCUGUUGCUUUUCUGAGUAAGUGUGGCAAGCCUCAUUGCAGACCGCUUAGGAGGGCAGUAUUUCUUUCUGUCAGUGGGCUGUGAACACUAAACUUCUGCCCAGAAACUUUAAGCCUGUGUGCAAAGUUAAUAAAAAAGAAAAGGGAAGAAAAAGAGAGAGGGGGCGUGGAAGAAGACAAGAUAAUUUAGAGCAAGUGAGGAGGAAAAAAGCGGAAAACGAAAGAACAAGAAGUUUUCAUUGCUUUGAUUUAAGAGAACUUGGCUGUCCAGAGGGAGGAGGAUGUGUUUUCUAUAAGACCGAGCCAUAAAAGCAAGCUGGAAAUGGGAGAGCACUUUCAAUCAAAACCAAGAUAUUUGUUACAGAGGAUGCUGGGUGAGGAUGACACUGCUGGAGAGUAAAAAGGAAAGUUGCUUGUGGUGCGGUUAGCAGCAAAAAUCUACAUUUUGUGGGUCAUUUGCUUUGAUGAUGCUCUCUAACUUUAACGUCAUCAAGCAAGACCACAGUCCACAAGGGGAGACUUAUGGGUAAAAAUGAGGGAGUGUAAAGAACCAUAAACAUUGUUGUCCCGCAAGUACAACAAGAAAACACCAUCUGAUUCAUGUAACAUGGCUGAUGGCACGUAGCAGAGUCGGGUAAGACAUACAGUGUCAGCUGUGCCUUCCCUGUGUGUUGUUUUAUAGCUUCACCAUUCAUCUUCCCAUUCACACAACUAUGCACCACCAUUUGUCUCUGUGAUGGUGGAGGAUGUCAUAAAUCUCGCCACUGUGUAUGUGAGUCUGCACACGUAGGUGUGUGUUUGCAUCUCUGGUUUAAGUUACAAAACAGACAUGAGGUGCUUUCAAAUGCUUCUAAAGGCGUUAUGGUUUGUUUCCCCUAUAAAUAUCAUACUGUGUUGUUUUCAUUUGUCCGCUUGAACAUGGUUUUGUUUGAAAGAUAUCGAAGAGGGAUCAUUAAAUGCAGUUAUAAACAGCGAUUAAAAGUAGAUCUCAUUUGGUUUAAUGGUGAUUGGACUGGGCAAAGUGACAAAGAGAAAUAGCACAGUCCAUAUUUUCUUCCUGCUUAAACCAACUCUAUGAACCCGUUUACUCCAGCUGUGAAAUACCAAACAGUAGACAGACAUGGUGACUGAGUAAAAAGUGGACUAUUUAGUCGCUAAAUAAGCUGAUAUUUCAGUCUGGAGAUGGAGGAAACUGAAACAGGGGUUAAAAUAGGCACUAACUAUUGAGCCUGUGAUCCUAGAUAUGUCGAAUCUCUGAAUAAAUGCUCCUGUUGUUGACUUUUCUUCUUGUGCAUACACCCAAAAGAUUACCAAUAUUUUUCACAAUAUUUUUUUACAUGUUUGCCGGGUAUAUUGUGCAGUCUAUGCAUACCUGAAGGUACAGAGAGCUCAGAUUUAGUGAUAAUGUUUUAUGACUUGAAUUUCCAAACCUAACUCUUGGUUUCGGUCCCUCUCUCUUUCUCCCCCGGCCUGCGUGAUCGUCUGGUAUGGCAGGAAUGUCACACAUCACACACGCAGUGGCAGCAGCCGCGACAGCGACCACACACUCUGGAGGUUUAUGGUCAGUUGACAAGUGGAUUAUCGAACCUUGAGGUACGAGGACACCAGGCGCAUACCAACACCAGAAACAUAUCUAUUCCUAAAAUGAUCAAGAAAAAGGGGGUGUGGAAAUGGACAAAAACAGCUGUACUUCAUGGAUGGACUGUUUUUUUGUUCUCAGAGAUAUUUGCAACUGAUCAUUUACACACAAAAAGCCGAUCCCUCCUGGAGGCACAUCAGAUGACAACUAUCUCACCCUGAGUAUGUUUGUUG